rnacentral:rRNA from 1 species
AGAGUUUGAUCCUGGCUCAGGACGAACGCUGGCGGCGUGCUUAACACAUGCAAGUCUACGAGAAAAAGGUAGCAAUAUCUUGAUUAAAGUGGCGCACGGGUGAGUAACACGUGAGCAAUCUACCCUUGGAUUUGGAAUAACCCGUCGAAAGACGUGCUAAUACCGAACGACACGCGGGAAUCGCAUGGUUCCUUCGUUAAAGUUGCAGCAAUGUAACGUCCAGGGGAUGAGCUUGCGUCUGAUUAGCUAGUUGGUAGGGUAAUGGCCUACCAAGGCGACGAUCAGUAGCUGGUCUGAGAGGAUGAUCAGCCACACUGGAACUGAGACACGGUCCAGACUCCUACGGGAGGCAGCAGUGAGGAAUAUUGGGCAAUGCCCGCAAGGGUGACCCAGCAACGCCGCGUGGAGGAUGAAAGCCGUAAGGUUGUAAACUCCUGUGAGAGGGGACGAAUGAUUACGUUUCGUAAGGAACGUGAAGUGACUGUACCCUCAGAGGAAGCCCCGGCUAACUACGUGCCAGCCGCCGCGGUAAUAC